GUAGUACUCCCUCCGUUCAGAAAUACUUGUCAUCAAAAUGGAUAAUAGGAGAUGUAUCUAGAUAUAUUUUAGUUCUAGAUACAUUUCUUUUUAUCCAUUUUGAUGACAAGUAUUUUCGGACGGAGGGAGAGUACAUG
rfam:Triticum aestivum genome assembly, contig: Triticum_aestivum_CS42_TGACv1_scaffold_643902_T_4AL-0.051603_1BL-0.032854